rnacentral:rRNA from 1 species
ACGUAGGGAGCGAGCGUUGUCCGGAAUCAUUGGGCGUAAAGAGCGCGUAGGUGGGUAAAUCAGUCUGCUGUGAAAGUCGAAGGCUCAACCUUCGAAAGCCGGUGGAUACUGUUUAUCUUGAGUACGGAAGAGGCGAGUGGAAUUCCUGGUGUAGCGGUGGAAUGCGCAGAUAUCAGGAGGAACACCAAUAGCGAAGGCAGCUCGCUGGGACGUUACUGACACUAAGGCGCGAAAGCGUGGGGAGCAAACAGGAUUAGAUACCCUGGUAGUCCACGCCGUAAACGAUGGGUACUAGGUGUGGGAGGUGUCGACUCCUCCCGUACCGCAGCUAACGCACUAAGUACCCCGCCUGGGGAGUACGGCCGCAAGGCUA